UACGAAGGGGGCUAGCGUUGCUCGGAAUCACUGGGCGUAAAGCGCACGUAGGCGGCUUUUUAAGUCAGGGGUGAAAUCCUGGAGCUCAACUCCAGAACUGCCUUUGAUACUGAGAAGCUUGAGUCCGGGAGAGGUGAGUGGAACUGCGAGUGUAGAGGUGAAAUUCGUAGAUAUUCGCAAGAACACCGGUGGCGAAGGCGGCAUCCUGGACCGGCAUUGACGCUGAGGCGCGAAAGCCAGGGGAGCAAACAGG
rnacentral:rRNA from 1 species